rnacentral:rRNA from 1 species
CCUACGGGGAGCAGCAGUGAGGAAUAUUGGUCAAUGGACGAGAGUCUGAACCAGCCAAGUAGCGUGAAGGAUGACUGCCCUAUGGGUUGUAAACUUCUUUUAUAAAGGAAUAAAACGAGGCACGUGUGCCUUUUUGCAUGUACUUUAUGAAUAAGGAUCGGCUAACUCCGUGCCAGCAGCCGCGGUAAUACGGAGGAUCCGAGCGUUAUCCGGAUUUAUUGGGUUUAAAGGGAGCGUAGAUGGGUUGUUAAGUCAGUUGUGAAAGUUUGCGGCUCAACCGUAAAAUUGCAAUUGAUACUGGCAGUCUUGAGUACAGUUGAGGUAAGCGGAAUUCGUGGUGUAGCGGUGAAAUGCUUAGAUAUCACGAAGAACCCCGAUUGCGAAGGCAGCUUACUAAACUGCAACUGACGUUGAGGCCCGAAAGCGUGGGGAGCAAACAGGAUUAGAUACCCCUGUAGUC